rnacentral:lncRNA from 1 species
CAUUAGAAGAGCUUAAGAUGGGAGAGAUAGAUCUGAAAUUGCAAAACAGAAAAGAUCUUGAACUCCUUUAUUUCUAUUACUCUAUCUAUUUAUGUUCUAUGUUUCAUUUGAGUUUAUUUCACACCAUCAGGACUUUGUCUCUCAUGAAUAUGUUUCAGUAAACCAAUUGUUAGAUUUAGGUUUCUCACCAUGGUUGAAAUUAUGUACUGCUAAUAUGACUAUUAAAAAAGUGUUUUGAUUGUUCUUUUAUUGGUUGUGAACUUAAUGCUAAAAUUGAGAUUGAUC